rnacentral:tRNA from 1 species
GCCUCUGUAGCUCAGUUGGUUAGAGCGCUGCACCGGAAUCGCAGGGCCGCAGUUUCAAUUCCUGCCAGGGACC